rnacentral:rRNA from 1 species
UACAGAGGUGGCAAGCGUUGUUCGGAUUUAUUGGGCGUAAAGGGUUCGUAGGCGGUUUGGAUAGUCGGAUGUGAAAUCCCACAGCUUAACUGUGGAACUGCAUUCGAAACUUCCAAACUCGAGUGUGAGAGGGGUAAAGAGAAUUCCGAGUGUAAGGGUGAAAUCUGCAGAUAUUCGGAGGAAUACCAGUCGCGAAGGCGCUUUACUGGCUCACAACUGACGCUGAGGGACGAAAGCUAGGGUAGCGAACGGG